rnacentral:sRNA from 1 species
UAAUACAAUUUGGGGGGCUUAAACGACA